rnacentral:misc_RNA from 1 species
GAUACAGAGCCUUUUCCCAUUCCUUAUCUCCCUGGAGAUAUUAAGAUAACCAAAAUGAAACUCCCUACGUUCGUUCGGGAGAAUGCGGAGAAUGAACUUAGCAAGUUUCUCAAGAAAGUCAAAGAGUCGGAAUCGUGUUGUUAUGGAGUUGUUGUUAACAGUUUUUACGAGCUGGAAGCAGAGUAUGCUGAUUGUUACAGAGAUGUCUUGGGAAGAAAAGCGUGGCAAAUUGGCCCACUUUCAUUAUGCAACAGUGAAACUCAAGAAAUUAAACAG